UCAAUAAGCGGAGGAAAAGAAACCAACAGGGAUUGCCCAUAGUAACGGCGAGCGACGCAACAGCUCAAAUUUGAAAUCUGGCCCCCCGGCCCGAGUUGUAAUUUGGAGAGGAUGCUUCUGGCAAGGUGCCUUCCGAGUUCCCUGGAACGGGACGCCAUAGAGGGUGAGAGCCCCGUACGGUUGGACACCGAGCCGUUGUGUAGCUCCUUCAACGAGUCGAGUAGUUUGGGAAUGCUGCUCUAAAUGGGAGGUAUAUCUCUUCUAAAGCUAAAUACGCAGAGACGAUAGCGCACAAGUAGAGUGAUCGAAAGAUGAAAAGCACUUUGAAAAGAGAGUUAAACAGCACGUGAAAUUGUUGAAAGGGAAGCGCUUGUGACCAGACUGUGCCCGGUGAAUUAGCUGGUGUUCUCACCAGUCGACUUUGCCGGCUCAGGCCAGCAUCGGUUUGUUAUUGGGGAGAAAAACGAUGGGAAUGUGGCUCUCUCGGGAGUGUUAUAGCCCGCCGUAUAAUACCCUUUGGCAGACCGAGGACCGCGCAUCUGCAUGGAUGCUGCGAAUGGUCACAGGACGCCCGUCUUGAAACACGGACCAAGGAGUCAACCUUAUGUGCAAGUGUUUGGGUGUUAAACCCCUACGCGGAAUUAACGUGAACGUAGGUGAGAGCUUCGGGCGCAUCAUCGACCGAUUCUGAUGUUCUCGGAUGGAUUUGAGUAAGAGCACACAGGGUUGGACCCGAAAGAAGGUGAACUAUGCUUGUAUAGGGUGAAGCCAGAGGAAACUCUGGUGGAGGCUCGCAGCGGUUCUGACGUGCAAAUCGAUCGUCAAAUAUGAGCAUGGGGGCGAAAGACUAAUCGAACCUUCUAGUAGCUGGUUCCAGCCGAAGUUUCCCUCAGGAUAGCAGUGUUGAUCUCUUCAGUUUUAUGAGGUAAAGCGAAUGAUUAGGGACUCGGGGGCGCUAUUUAGCCUUCAUCCAUUCUCAAACUUUAAAUAUGUAAGAAGCCCUUGUUACUUAGCUGAACGUGGGCAUUCGAAUGUGCAACACUAGUGGGCCAUUUUUGGUAAGCAGAACUGG
rnacentral:rRNA from 1 species